rnacentral:rRNA from 3 species
UGGGGAAUAUUGGACAAUGGGCGAAAGCCUGAUCCAGCAAUGCCGCGUGAGUGAUGAAGGCCCUAGGGUUGUAAAGCUCUUUUACCCGGGAAGAUAAUGACUGUACCGGGAGAAUAAGCCCCGGCUAACUCCGUG